rnacentral:rRNA from 1 species
GGAAGGACGGGGGGGGGGGGGGCGGGGAGACGGGGGGUGAAGGGGUAUGCCGGAAGCACGGGGGUUAAAGGGGGGGUAGGCGGUGUGGUAAGUCAGAGGUGAAAGGCUAGGGCUUAACUGUGGGAUUGCCUGUGAUACUGGUGGACUGGAAUUGAGUUGAAGUGAGUGGAAUGCGGCAUGUAGCGGUGAAAUGCAUAGAUAUGUCGUAGAACACCGAUUGCGAAGGCAGCUAACUGGGCUUAAAUUGACGCUGAGGCACGAAAGCGUGGGGAUCGAACAGGAUUAGAUACCCUAGUAGUC